CCUGUGAGGACUUGCAGCUAAAUUGGAAUUACCUGCUGAAUGAUUUGCCAUUGAUGUAAAAUUCUGGUUGACUGAGG